AUUGAACGCUGGCGGCAGGCCUAACACAUGCAAGUCGAACGGUAGCACAGAGAGCUUGCUCUCGGGUGACGAGUGGCGGACGGGUGAGUAACGUCUGGGAAACUGCCCGAUGGAGGGGGAUAACUACUGGAAACGGUAACUAAUACCGCAUAACGUCGCAAGACCAAAGUGGGGGACCUUCGGGCCUCACACCAUCGGAUGUGCCCAGAUGGGAUUAGCUAGUAGGUGGGGUAAUGGCUCACCUAGGCGACGAUCCCUAGCUGGUCUGAGAGGAUGACCAGCAAAACUGGAACUGAGACACGGUCCAGACUCCUACGGGAGGCAGCAGUGGGGAAUAUUGCACAAUGGGCGCAAGCCUGAUGCAGCCAUGCCGCGUGUAUGAAGAAGGCCUUCGGGUUGUAAAGUACUUUCAGCGGGGAGGAAGGCGGUGAAGUUAAUAACUUCACCGAUUGACGUUACCCGCAGAAGAAGCACCGGCUAACUCCGUGCCAGCCGCCGCCGUAA
rnacentral:rRNA from 1 species